rnacentral:tRNA from 1 species
GGUCUUAUAUUCAUUUUGUGAUUGUAGAAUGCAAUUCUGUAGGGAUGGUUGAAAUUUGGCCAUUAAGGCCU